GUCCUUGGUCAAAAAGUCAGUAAGUUUCAGGGUUGGAAUUCAAAUCUAAGCCUAUUUCUUUCCACUUGCUUUUUCCAGAGGGUUUUUGAGUGUGACAUAUAAGAUAUUUUGUCAGAGGGUAUAAUGGCCCUCUAUGACCUCAACCUCUAAAGGUUAGAGAUGUAAAUCUAGUUUAGAUUUAGAGACUUACAGAAUGUAGGUGCUAGAUGACUCCUUAGGGUCUAUUCUAUACAAUGUCAUAGCUGGAGGGCUUUUCGGAAUGAUUAUCUAAUCCAACUGCUUCAUUUGUCAGAUGAUAAACUAAAGCCCAACAAGGGGAAGGGGCUUGCUUCAAGUGAGGAGAGAGGCAGAGGAAUGUGGACACAUAUAGUAUGUGAAUAUGAUUCAAAUUCUAUGGUAACUUUGCAGAUGUUCCUGCACAAGAACAGUUCAAAACAGCCUGAGUGGUCCCUGAAUCUCUGGAGAUAACUCCCAAGACUAUCUUCUUCCAUCAUAUCCUGGUCUACAUUCUAGGCUAUUAAACAUCUCCUGUUGCUAGACAGAAGUUUCUCUCUUGUUGCCCAAUCCUAGAGACCCCUCUCCUCUUUCUUAUAAUAGUAUAAAACUGGAGGCAGCUAGGUAGCUCAGCAGAUAUAGAGCAAGGCCUAGAGAUAGAGUUCCGGGGUUCAAAUCUAGCCUUGGACACUUCCCACUUGUGUGACCCUAGGCAAAUCACUUAAUCUCAACUGCCUUGUCCUUACUGCUCUUCUGCCUUAGAAGCAAUUCUAAGACAGAAGGUACAGGUUUAAAAAAAAACACUAUAAAACUUAUAACAUUCUUCUCCUCCGCAGGCUUGGUUCUAUUCCAUCCCCUACAUAUAUAUCUUGCUUUCUCUUUCUUAAAAGAAAUAAGCAAUUUUGCUGAGCAUACUGUGGCUCUCUGGUUUUUAGG
rnacentral:lncRNA from 1 species